rnacentral:rRNA from 1 species
UACGGAGGGUGCAAGCGUUAUCCGGAUUCACUGGGUUUAAAGGGUGCGUAGGCGGCUUGAUAAGUCAUUGGUGAAAGCUCGCAGCUUAACUGCGAAACUGCCAUUGAAACUGUCAAGCUUGAAUGUGGUUGAAGUGGGCGGAAUACAACAUGUAGCGGUGAAAUGCUUAGAUAUGUUUUAGAACACCGAUUGCGAAGGCAGCUCACUAAGCCAAUAUUGACGCUGAGGCACGAAAGCGUGGGUAGCAAACAGG